rnacentral:piRNA from 1 species
CUGGACUUCUUAAAUGCAGAUUUCCUGCUAAA